GAUGAACGCUGGCGGCGUGCCUAAUACAUGCAAGUCGAGCGAACGGACGAGAAGCUUGCUUUUCUGAUGUUAGCGGCGGACGGGUGAGUAACACGUGGAUAACCUACCUAUAAGACUGGGAUAACUUCGGGAAACCGGAGCUAAUACCGGAUAAUAUUUUGAACCGCAUGGUUCAAAAGUGAAAGACGGUCUUGCUGUCACUUAUAGAUGGAUCCGCGCUGCAUUAGCUAGUUGGUAAGGUAACGGCUUACCAAGGCAACGAUGCAUAGCCGACCUGAGAGGGUGAUCGGCCACACUGGAACUGAGACACGGUCCAGGCUCCUACGGGAGGCAGCAGUAGGGAAUCUUCCGCAAUGGGCGAAAGCCUGACGGAGCAACGCCGCGUGAGUGAUGAAGGUCUUCGGAUCGUAAAACUCUGUUAUUAGGGAAGAACAUAUGUGUAAGUAACUGUGCACAUCUUGACGGUACCUAAUCAGAAAGCCACGGCUAACUACGUG
rnacentral:rRNA from 1 species